CUGAAAUACCGAUCAUAACCGCCCAGACAUUGAUU
rnacentral:sRNA from 1 species